rnacentral:rRNA from 1 species
AACUGAGACAUGGUCCAGACUCCUACGGGAGGCAGCAGUAGGGAAUAUUGCUCAAUGGGGGAAACCCUGAAGCAGCAACGCCGCGUGGAGGAUGAAGGUUUUAGGAUUGUAAACUCCUUUUGUUAGAGAAGAUAAUGACGGUAUCUAACGAAUAAGCACCGGCUAACUCCGUGCCAGCAGCCGCGGUAAUACGGAGGGUGCAAGCGUUACUCGGAAUCACUGGGCGUAAAGAGCGCGUAGGCGGGAUAGUCAGUCAGGUGUGAAAUCCUAUGGCUUAACCAUAGAACUGCAUUUGAAACUACUAUUCUAGAGUGU